rnacentral:lncRNA from 1 species
GUACAGCAAAAUAAUAAUAGUUAUCAAAGGUACCAGGAUUAUAAUUUAUAAAAUAUGCAAGAAGCACGUUUCGUCUACAUAAGACUCACCAGUGACGCUCAUAUCGAAAUAUUUGUAAAGCCAAACAAGUAAAAAGUUGGAAGAGAAUUGAGGGUUAGUGUUUCUGAAAUUUCCACCAGAGAUAGACCUCAACCUGCUGAUUAAUUUUACUCCAUUGAAAUUUUCCUCUCACUACUCAAGCUUUUGAGCCCAAAUUUGUAGUUAAACCUCAUGUUCUACUUUUGUAAUCAGAGGCUAUGGUUGUUAAUGGAUCAAAUUCCUUGAUGCAAUUUUUCUUACUUGAUGCAUUAAACAGUCAUGUAAAGUGUAGUUAUAUUAGCCCAGCAGUUUCAAAGGAGAAGAUUUUUGUUUCAACAAAAGGACAAUAGAUUCAAAGGGAUGCAUUAGCUCAUGUGGUUUUAAGGCCAGGCUAGUUUAAAACAUCAACCCCAGACAUAAGUAUCUAUAUAUAAGUGCAAAAAAUCAACAUCAAUGCAGAUUUAUUUUAAAAAUUUGAUGGGGCUUGUAUCCAUGGGACACACAUGAUGCCUCCCCCACUUACAUAUAAUGUAAUGAACAAACCGUUUUUGGUAAAAAGCAUUGUGUAUGAAUUUCAUGACAUUUGGCUGAGGCAAACUAAAGUUACAGAACGGAAAUCAAUUUUGGGAUGUAUGGAUGUAGGGACAGACAAACAGACAAACAAGGAUUAUACUUGAUUUCCUCUCUGUUAUUGUGGGGGCAUUAAAAUACUGUCUCAUUAAAAAACAUUCUAAUUUCAGGAAUUUUGACAGAAAAUGUAACCAAGGAUACUUUUGAUUCGACAAUUGCAUGUAAGUGUUUGAGAAAAAUAGCACUAUUUUUAUAAAUGUUUUCUGUUUAAUAACUUUAUAUGGUAAAAAAAUCAACUCACAAUGUGUUAAUCAAUAACAGUGAUAUCAAUAUGUUAAUUAGAUUUUUUCCAUUGAAUUAUUUAGUAUAAAAUCAAUAUAUAGGUUAUCAUAUUAAGUCUGCACCAGUCAAUAGGUAAUUUCAACCUUCAAACAUAAGUAAAAAUAAAGUAUACAUUUGUAGUGAGCUUCUCAAGUUUAGCACUAUGAUCAUAUUUAGAACAAAUAAAUCAACAUCUAUACAAAUCAUCUUUUUUUUCAAUUUUCAAUGAACUCU